GAAGGGCGUGAACCGCUUAGAAUAAAACGGACGGAGCUGUCUAAGGCCUUUGGGAAUCAGUCGUGCGAUUUCGCGAAGGUAUUCUGGUUAGAGCGAAAAGUCUGACCAGGGUAUUAGUAGUAGCAAUCGUUUGGCGCACUUCCCGAGGGUGAGCACUGCGACCGAUAUGAAAGGCCAGCGAAGCGACUCGAUUGAGGUCGAGAUCCGCAAGGAACUCGCUACCAGUCUUUUCGCCUGAAUCGUUGGACCGCAGUAUAUAUCGAGUGCCAGUAAAAAUGCGUUGGCGAAAACGCUCAUCAAGUGGCGGAUAGUUAGCCAAUGAGUUGAUUCUUGCUCGCAAGGACUGAUUUAUUCGGUGGACUUUGAAGUUACUGGUGACAUUCCAGCGCAUAGGCGUCAGCGGUGUCAGUGUCAGCCACCCGUCCGACCCGUCUUGAAACACGGACCAAGGAGUCUAACAUAUGCGCGAGCUAAUGGGUGGAAAACCCAAAGGCGCAAUAAAAGUAAAGGUCAUUUCAGAAUGGCUAAGAUAUGAUCCUGAAGUCCGAGAGACUUCAGGCGCAAUAUCGUCCCGUCUCAACCGCAUAUCGGUAGGGCGGAGAUUGAGCGCAUAUGUUGGGACCCGAAAGAUGGUGAACUAUGCCUGAGUAGAGUGAAGCCAGAGGAAACUCUGGUGGAGGUUCGUAGCGGUUCUGACGUGCAAAUCGAUCGUCAAACUUGGGUAUAGGGGCGAAAGACUAAUCGAACCAUCUAGUAG
rnacentral:rRNA from 1 species